CCAGACUCCUACGGGAGGCAGCAGUGGGGAAUAUUGCACAAUGGGGGAAACCCUGAUGCAGCGACGCCGCGUGAGUGAAGAAGUAAUUCGUUAUGUAAAGCUCUAUCAGCAGGGAAGAAACAGACGGUACCUGAGUAAGAAGCCCCGGCUAACUACGUGCCAGCAGCCGCGGUAAUACGGAGGGUGCAAGCGUUACUCGGAAUCACUGGGCGUAAAGAGCGCGUAGGCGGGAUAGCAAGUCAGGUGUGAAAACUCCGGGCUCAACCUGGAGACUGCACUUGAAACUGGGUGUCUUGAGGGCAGGAGAGGAAAGUGGAAUUCCUAGUGUAGCGGUGAAAUGCGUAGAUAUUAGGAGGAACACCAGUGGCGAAGGCGACUUUCUGGACUGUACCUGACGCUGAGGCGCGAAAGCGUGGGUAGCGAACGGGAUUAGAUACCCCUGUAUAA
rnacentral:rRNA from 1 species